rnacentral:miRNA from 1 species
AGUUUUGUGUGCAUGUGCAUGU